rnacentral:rRNA from 1 species
UACGUAGGGGGCAAGCGUUGUCCGGAAUCAUUGGGCGUAAAGAGCGUGUAGGCGGCCCGGUCAGUCCGCCGUGAAAGUCCAGGGCUCAACCCUGGAAAGCCGGUGGAUACUGCCGGGCUAGAGUCCGGGAGAGGCGAGUGGAAUUCCAGGUGUAGCGGUGAAAUGCGUAGAUAUCUGGAGGAACACCGGUGGCGAAGGCGGCAUCCUGGACCGGCAUUGACGCUGAGGCGCGAAAGCCAGGGGAGCAAAGCGGG